rnacentral:rRNA from 1 species
UACGUAGGGUGCGAGCGUUAAUCGGAAUUACUGGGCGUAAAGCGCACGCAGGCGGUCUUUUAAGUUUGACGUGAAAGCUCCCGGCUUAACUGGGAGAGGUCGUUGAAGACUGGAAGACUUGAGGCAAUGAGAGGGGUGUAGAAUUCCCGGUGUAGUGGUGGAAUGCGUAGAUAUCGGGGGGAAUACCAGUGGCGAAAGCGGCACCCUAGCGUUAGCCUGACGCUCAUGUGCGAAAGCGUGGGGAGCGAACGGGG